rnacentral:misc_RNA from 1 species
AAGUCGUAACAAGGUUUCCGUAGGUGAACCUGCGGAAGGAUCAUUAUUAAAAAAUGUUCAAGAGUGCACUUCAUUGUGGCUCUAAACCUUUUUUCAAUAUACCUUUCACCCUUUUUUUAAAACCCAAAGGCUGUUAUGUGUGCCUCCUUUGGUAUAGCAUCUCAGUAGUACGCAUCAUGUGUGAAUUCACAAGUUGCAUUACCCCCCUUUUAACUUUUAAAUCACUAUAAAAAGUUUUUAGAAUGUAAACCCCCGUUUAAAUUAAUAUAA